rnacentral:rRNA from 1 species
GCCCUAGUAACGGCGAGUGAAGCGGCAAAAGCUCAAAUUUGAAAUCUGGCCCUAGCGGUCCGAGUUGUAAUUUGCAGAGGAUGCUUUUGGUGCGGUGCCUUCCGAGUUCCCUGGAACGGGACGCCAUAGAGGGUGAGAGCCCCGUACGGUUGGAUACCUAGCCUCUAUAUAGCUCCUUCGACGAGUCGAGUAGUUUGGGAAUGCUGCUCUAAAUGGGAGGUAAAUUUCUUCUAAAGCUAAAUACCGGCCAGAGACCGAUAGCGCACAAGUAGAGUGAUCGAAAGAUGAAAAGCACUUUGAAAAGAGGGUUAAAUAGCACGUGAAAUUGUUGAAAGGGAAGCGUUUGCGACCAGACCUUCUCCAGGGGGAUCAACCGCUGUUCUCAGCGGUGCACUCCCCCUGGUUUAGGCCAGCAUCGGUUCUCUUAGGGGGAUAAAGGCCUGGGGAACGUAGCUCUUUAGGGAGUGUUAUAGCCCCUAGCGUAAUACCCUUCAGGGGACCGAGGACCGCGCUUCGGCAAGGAUGCUGGCGUAAUGGUCGUCAACGACCCGUCUUGAAACACGGACCAAGGAGUCGAACAUUUGUGCGAGUGUUUGGGUGUUAAACCCUCACGCGUAAUGAAAGUGAACGGAGGUGAGAGCCUUAGGGUGCAUCAUCGACCGAUCCUGAUGUCUUCGGAUGGAUUUGAGUAAGAGCAUAACUGUUCGGACCCGAAAGAUGGUGAACUAUGCGUGGAUAGGGUGAAGCCAGAGGAAACUCUGGUGGAGGCUCGCAGCGGUUCUGACGUGCAAAUCGAUCGUCAAAUCUGCGCAUGGGGGCGAAAGACUUAUCGA